GAUGAACGCUGGCGGCGUGCCUAAUACAUGCAAGUCGAGCGAACGGACGAGAAGCUUGCUUCUCUGAUGUUAGCGGCGGACGGGUGAGUAACACGUGGAUAACCUACCUAUAAGACUGGGAUAACUUCGGGAAACCGGAGCUAAUACCGGAUGAUAUUUUGAACCGCAUGGUUCAAAAGUGAAAGACGGUCUUGCUGUCACUUAUAGAUGGAUCCGCGCUGCAUUAGCUAGUUGGUAAGGUAACGGCUUACCAAGGCAACGAUGCAUAGCCGACCUGAGAGGGUGAUCGGCCACACUGGAACUGAGACACGGUCCAGACUCCUACGGGAGGCAGCAGUAGGGAAUCUUCCGCAAUGGGCGAAAGCCUGACGGAGCAACGCCGCGUGAGUGAUGGAGGUCUUCGGAUCGUAAAACUCUGUUAUUAGGGAAGAACAUAUGUGUAAGUAACUGUGCACAUCUUGACGGUACCUAGUCAGAAAGCCACGGCUAACUACGUG
rnacentral:rRNA from 1 species